AGUCGAGGGGCAUCAGGGUGUAGCAAUACACCGCUGGCGACCGGCGCACGGGUGAGUAACACGUAUCCAACCUGCCCUUUACUCGGGGAUAGCCUUUCGAAAGAAAGAUUAAUACCCGAUGGUAUAACAUGACCUCCUGGUUCUGUUAUUAAAGAAUUUCGGUAGAGGAUGGGGAUGCGUUCCAUUAGGCAGUUGGCGGGGUAACGGCCCACCAAACCUUCGAUGGAUAGGGGUUCUGAGAGGAAGGUCCCCCACAUUGGAACUGAGACACGGUCCAAACUCCUACGGGAGGCAGCAGUGAGGAAUAUUGGUCAAUGGGCGAGAGCCUGAACCAGCCAAGUAGCGUGAAGGAUGACCGCCCUAUGGGUUGUAAACUUCUUUUAUAUGGGAAUAAAGGGUGCCACGUGUGGCAUUUUGUAUGUACCAUAUGAAUAAGGAUCGGCUAACUCCGUGCCAGCAGCCGCGGUAAUACGGAGGAUUCGAGCGUUAUCCGGAUUUAUUGGGUUUAAAGGGAGCGUAGGCGGGUUGUUAAGUCAGUUGUGAAAGUUUGCGGCUCAACCGUAAAAUUGCAGUUGAUACUGGCGACCUUGAGUGCAACAGAGGUAGGCGGAAUUCGUGGUGUAGCGGUGAAAUGCUUAGAUAUCACGAAGAACUCCGAUUGCGAAGGCAGCUUACUGGAUUGUAACUGACGCUGAUGCUCGAA
rnacentral:rRNA from 1 species